rnacentral:rRNA from 1 species
GCGUGAGUGAAGAAGGCCUUCGGGUUGUAAAGCUCUUUCAGCCGGGAAGAAAACGCACUCUCUAACAUAGGGUGUGGAUGACGGUACCGGAAGAAGAAGCACCGGCUAACUACGUGCCAGCAGCCGCGGUAAUACGUAGGGUGCGAGCGUUAAUCGGAAUUACUGGGCGUAAAGGGUGCGCAGGCGGUUUUGUAAGACAGAUGUGAAAUCCCCGGGCUUAACCUGGGAACUGCGUUUGUGACUGCAAGGCUAGAGUACGGCAGAGGGGGGUGGAAUUCCGCGUGUAGCAGUGAAAUGCGU